rnacentral:lncRNA from 1 species
AGUAAAAUUAAAAUUCCAAUUUGAAUUGAAAUUUAAACUUAAAACGAAAAUUAAAUUCAACUUCAAACUCAAAACUUUAAUUAAAAUUCAAUUUCAAAAUGAAAACUAACUCAAAUUCAAAUUUUAAAUUUAAAUCUAAAGUUUUAUACUCCGUUCAAAUUUUAUGCUAAAAUUCUAAAUUUUAACUUGAAACUUAAACUUUUGAAUUUAAACUUUCAAAUUCAGGGAUGCCAAGUCAAGUCCAUUUCGUGUACUUGCGCUUCACCUACAUGAUGCCCUCCAAACUCAGAAUUUAAGCUGAAGGCGAGUCCAAAUGUCAAGCCAAUCUAAACUUGAAUUUGAUCCAAAUUGGCCCAAGCUGAACCCAAGCCUCAAAUCCAAAUACAACCCAACUCAACCCAACCCAAACUUGACGGGUGCUAUACAAACCAAACCAUAUCAUCCAAAACCACAUUAAUCAAAAUCCCAAACCAAAACUCCAAAUCGAUAGCCAAAUCCAAGUCCAAUAUUGAAUCCAAACCUCAUGGGUCAGAUACAACCCAAGCAUGAAACCAACCUAUAUAAACCGACACUGAUGCUUAAACUCAAGCCUAAAUCAUAUCAAUCACAAUCCAAUCCCAAUAGAUCGCCAUGUCGUUAAACUGAGCAAGUCAAAAUCUAAUCGACCGCCAUGUCGUUAAACUGAGCAAUCCAAUUCCAAACGACCGCUAUGUCGUUAAACUGCGCAAGUCAAAAUCUAAUAGACUGCCAUGUCGUUAAACUGAGCAAUCCAAAUCCAAUCGACCGCCAUGUCGUUAAACUGAGCAAAUCAAACCCAAUCGACCGCCAUGUCGUUAAACUGAGCAAAUCAAACCCAAUCGACCGCCAUAUCGUUAAAUUGAGCAAAUCAAACCCAAUCUACCGCCAUAUCGUUAAACUAAGCAAACCAAUUUCAAUCGACCGCCAUGUCGUUAAACUGUGCAAUCCAAAUCUAAUCGACCGCCAUGUCGUUAAACUGAGCAAUCCAAAUAUAAUCAACCGCCAUGUCGUUAAACUGAGCAUCUAAAUCUAAUCGACCAUCAUGUCGUUAAACUGAGCAACCUAGUUCAAUCGACCGUCAUGUCGUUGAACUAAUCAUUUUCUCUUUUAUCUUACAUUCAUGUACACUGGGGGUAUGCCCCUAGUUAAGCCAUGUAAUUAUACAACGGAUUGUGUUAUAAAAUCCACCUUUUAUUCAAUUUCAGUCUAUUUCAGCAUUUCAGAGGUCUUUUAAUCGAAGGUGCCCUAACAUUUUAUAGAGGUAAUUAACAAUAGAUGCUUGCGUUUAUUGGAAGCCGUGAACCUGCAAUACUUGAUACCCAUACAUAUUUAAAUAUUAAUCUGAAUCAUGAAUACUCCUCCACGGAAAAACAAAAUAAGAUUAACCGUGCGAGGUGCGUCAUUAGUGGUCGCAGACACAACUAUAGAUUCAUCCCGUGGAAUUGGAAGAUCUAUUCUAUAUAUGCGUCAUAAGUCCCCUCUGCAGCGGGAGUCACAACACACUGCGGUGUUUCCAUUUGAAGUUGCUCACAAAUCUCACGCAAUAAUCUAAGGUAAGAAAGUUGGACGGCCGUUAUAGAAGCUGCGAAAGAAAAGUAGGAAAAGAAAGUGGGAAGGAGAGGUAAUUAAAGGAGUAGUCAUUAAAAGUGUAGAGAAAAAAAUGAUAAAAUAUUUUAUAAAUAUUAUUAAUAAAGUAAGUCUGGAAUAAGGAAAGUUUCCAAUAUCCAUAAUAGGCAGGGCAAAAAUUAAUAAAGUAAGAAAAAAAGUUUUACUUUAGUAAGUCUGGAAUAAGAAAAGUUUCCAAUAUCCAUAAUAGGCAGGGCAAAAAUUAAUAAAGGAAAAAAUCUUUACUUUAGCAGUGAGAACAUUUGAAGAACAUUAAACUGUUAAGGAAAUAAGGAGAUAAAACAUUAAACCAGGAAGAAAGUAAUUUUUCGAAAUGAAAACAUAUGAAAAGUAUUGCUGAAAACUAAGAGAUUGAAAAACGGUACGAAAAGAAAGCGAGAAAAAUCGGCAAGACUCAGGUAAUAUAGGCAAGUCAUUUAUGCCAUGGAAAGAGGCGUACGGCAGGAUUUAAGAAUAGCAAGUG